CUUGCCCCGUAUGCUGUCGCCAGGCUGCAGCCGCCUGAGGGGACUCGUCCGGGGCCCCGCCCUCAGAGCUCACACCCGCCGUGCGCUCUCGCCCCGGGGCCGCCCCGCCGACCUCCCGCGCGGCUCUGCGCGCACAGGCCGGACGCUCGGAGCCGGCGCCGGGCCGCCCUGCUCGGCCUCCUGGGCGCAGCGGCGCCUCUGGACCGAGCACGCGCACCAGCGGCCUCCGCUCAGGCUCCGUGCCCGCGCACGCGCCCUCGCGUCGCGCUCCUGGCUGAGAGACCUGCGCUCGGGCUGGGCUCCGGGCGGUUCUCGCGUUGUCGUUCCACCGGGACUUCCGCGCUUCGGUGGCCUUUCGGACGAGCCGCCGCGCCCAGAGAUGUUCAGGUUGGAGCGACACUUCCCAGACGGCAGCGGUCACGCCAGCUCUUUGGCUUCCAUUCCGUUUUCGCGCGGUUCUCCCUCUUCGCAAGCUGCUUGGCUGCAAGAGGGAAGUAGGACAUUGAGCCCUAAAGGGAGAUUUCCAGCCAGGGGGCACCGAGUGAUGUCAUUCUGACUGCAGUCACCACUGUCGGGUUGUGAUUAAACUCUGAUGACCUAUGAGAGCACCGUGAUGAUCAGGAACAAGAUAAGGAUGUUACUCUCACCACUCUUAUUCAACAUAGUACUGGACAUCCUAGACAGAGCAAUUAGACAAGAAAAAGAAAUAAAAUACGUUCAAA
rnacentral:lncRNA from 1 species